AGGCGAUAUCAAGCUUCCUAUCAGUUCUGGGACUUGAGCAGCUUUGGAUCUAUGCUAUCAGUGUCAGCAGGAUCUUUUAUUUUCUCCAAAAGCUAUAGAAGCUCCAUCUUGGAAAACAACGUGUCCUCCAGUCGUGUCCUCUGAGGAGCCCCUCCACCACACCCACGCGGCAGCCAGGCUGCUCACACCUGCAAGGCUAAAUACACGCAUGUGGUGCAGGUCUGGGUCCCAGCAAAAACUUCAGGUUUUUCACUUUGGUUUGCAAAUUUGGGCUUGGAUUCUUGGAGAAAGAUGCUCUGAGAAGAUUACUGCUGUUUUCUGCUCUUGACUGGAGUUUACACACCAACUGGGAAAGAAGCCUUCAGUAAAAGAGGGAGAGCCCCCUGAGAAGAGGGCAAAGCAGCAUUUCAUGGCAGAGCACUUGUGAAAUGUGCCCCAUAGUGAGAUGUGUCUACUUUGAAUUUCGCUGGGAUACUGCCAAGAUGCUCUUUGAAAGACAGCGCUGCAAGAGAAAGGAGCACCCCUUGAGACCAAGUGAGAUCUGUGCACACGUGAGCAUGAAAAUACUACCCUGACACCGAGUGGAAAAGAAAUCCAACAGUUCAAACAGGUUCCCAACUCUGCUGUCUCCACUGUCAGCACCGUCAACCACAUUUCUGAAACAAAAGAUCGUGACGUAGGAGAAGAAAAUGGAGAACAGCAGAGACAGAAAGGAGAAAGCAGUGCGAAAAAUGCGGAAUUCUGAUACACCUAAAUGAAGGUUUGUAUCUGGAGUAGUUGGUACCUCCAAAGCGGUCUGAACCCACACCUCCGUGAAUGUCCGUGGAACCACAGGAUGUGCUUGACUCUCUGAAAAUACAAUAACUCCUGUUUUGAUGGCAAAAAACCUUAAGUGAAGUUAAAGCAUCUUCGGCUUAGAAGCUACAGAUAAUUUCUGACGACUCUUCAUUUAGCUUUUAGCCAUGGGUCUAUGGAAAGUCUGAAAUGCAGCUGGAAUCAGGACUGCUCCAAACACAUGUAAAAAGCUCGUAGGGAAGACCUGGAAGGACCAGGAUGGUGUGAUCUGUGAUGAAACAAAAAAUUGAAUAUGCAUGAAGCCUUUUCAUAUGCAGCAGGAAUGGCAACGUGAAGGAUAAUGAGCAUCUCUGCUACAUCUAAAUCCCUUCCAUCCAGGGACUUUGACUCUCAAAGUCACGUCGAAAGAGUCAACACCCAGCCAGUUUUAGAAGAACAGGCUCGCGUUAACCUUCAGAAAUUGUAAGAGCAGCAUGGGCUUGGAUCAAAAAAGAGACUUGAGCUCUGUUCUUAAAUAACAG